rnacentral:rRNA from 1 species
AACGAACGCUGGCGGCAGGCCUAACACAUGCAAGUCGAACGCCCCGCAAGGGGAGUGGCAGACGGGUGAGUAACGCGUGGGAACCUACCUAGUGGUACGGAAUAACUCCGGGAAACCGGUGCUAAUACCGUAUACGCCCUUUGGGGGAAAGAUUUAUGGCCAUUAGAUGGGCCCGCGUCGGAUUAGCUAGUUGGUGAGGUAAAGGCUCACCAAGGCGACGAUCCGUAGCUGGUCUGAGAGGAUGAUCAGCCACACUGGGACUGAGACACGGCCCAGACUCCUACGGGAGGCAGCAGUGGGGAAGAUUGGACAAUGGGCGCAAGCCUGAUCCAGCCAUGCCGCGUGGGUGAAGAAGGCCCUAGGGUUGUAAAGCCCUUUCGGCGGGGAAGAUAAUGACGGUACCCGCAGAAGAAGCCCCGGCUAACUUCGUGCCAGCAGCCGCAGUAA